UGCAACUUUAUUUUUUUUGUUAGAUAUAUUAUUGCAACAUCAUCCGCUUUUUUUAAUUUAGUUAAUUUUUUUACACAUAUAAAUUUGGACAAAAGUAGUUUUGUAUUUUAUAUUUGUUCAGAAAAGAAAAGAAGAAAAAUAGAUACAAAAUAUAUUAUUAAUAAUCAUCAUCACAUGUUGGCUUGUUUAAUCAUAUAUAAUAUACUACUACAAGAACAAAGAGAGGAAAACAAUGUUUAUACAACAAAGCCGAUAUUACUACCAUUAGUAUUAAGAUAUUAUUUUUUUUGUUUUUUUAUUUUUAUUUAUCAUGCUGUGACAAAAAUGACAUGUAAUAUAAGAAAAUGUGACAUAAUAAAAUGUAACAAAGGGGAAGAAAUGGGUCUUUUUUUUUACGGUUACUAUGUGAUAGGCACAUAUUAUAAAAAAGAAGAUUAUUUGAAAGCUAAUUUAUCAGGUAUGUUGUACUGUUUAAAUUGUGCAUUUGUGAUCAUAGAUUUGUUUGUAUAUUGUAAACGAAGUGUUUUUUAUUGUGAUUGUUAUAAUAUAAUGAAAAAUGGAAAGGUAAGAUGUUUUUAUGACAGUGGUUGUGGUGGCUCCAAACAUGUUGGAAAAUCGAUAAAAAACGAGAAAAACUUGAUGAUUCGAAAAAAAAAAUUGGAAAAAAUAUUUGGUAUUUUAAACAAGAAAUUAAAUUACCAGUUAAAACAUGAAGACAGUCACAAGGAUGACAUUUACGAAUAUAAUAGUGGUAACAACAAUUAUAACAGUAACAAUUAUAACAGUGGCAAUAAUAACACUUGUGGUAAUAACAACUGUAGUAACCAAGACUCUACUAGUAGCAAUAAUAACAAAGGUGAUAGUAAUAGUAACAACAGAGGUGAUAGUAAUAGUAACAACAUAGGUGAUAAUAGUAGUAUUAAUAAUAAUAAUAAUGGCGGUAGUAACUGUGGUUCUAACGGUAGUAGUGGUGGUAAUAAAGAUGAUGGUAACGACGAAGAUGGUACCAAUACAAGUAUUCAAAAAGAAAAAAUUGAUGAUGAUAAUAAUAAUAGUGGUAAAAAAGAAAAAAAAAGAAAACAGAAAAUUAAUGAAAAAAGCAGAAAAAUUAACAAAAUUAGUAUAACUAAAAAAGGGAAAAAAAAACUUAAUCUAUCGAAUUGUAAUCAUGAUGAAAGUAAUAUUAAUAAUGAAGAUUAUAACAAUGGUAAUAGUAACAUGAGCAAUGGUAAUAUUAGCAUGAUUAGUGGUAAUAGUAACAUGAUUAGUGGUAAUAGUAACAUGAUUAGUGGUAAUAGUAACAUGAGCAAUAGUAAUAGCAACAUGAGCAAUAGUAAUAGCAACAUGAGCAAUGGUAAUAGCAACAUGAGCAAUGGUAAUAGCAACAUGAACAAUGGUAAUAGCAACAUGAACAAUGGUAGUAACAACCUUAACAAUAAGUAUUAUUACACUAUGAAUAACGUUAAUAAUAAUAUCAAAGAAAAUAUCAUAAACAAUUAUAUAAAUAAAGUAAAUAUGAAAGUAAAUAAUUAUACUACUAAAAUGGGAAAUGAAUUGAAUGGUAUUGGUGUUGGCGUCGGUACCGCUGUCAUGAACGGUCAAGUUGGUGGUCAAGUUGGUGGUCAAGUUGGUGGUCAAAUUGGUGGUCAAAUUGGUGGUCAAGUUGGUGGUCAAAUUGGUGGUCAAAUUGGUGGUCAAGUUGGUGGUCAAAUUGGUGGUCAAGUUGGUGGUCAAGUUGGUGGUCAAGUUGGAGGCCAGGUUAAUAACCAUUUGAACCCUACUCUGAACAACCGUUUAAACAACAACAACUAUAACAUGUAUAUAACUGGUAUUGGAAAUAUGCCUUAUAUAUCAAAUUAUGUUAAUCAAAAUUGUGCCAUCCCUAUGAAUAUGAACAACGUCAUGUUGAGUAGUACAGGUGCAAGUACAAAUGCAAACACAGGUGUAAAUACAAACAUCAACGUGAGCAAAAACUCAAUUCACCAAGCGAGCAACACAGACAGUGGGUUUCGAAAUAAUUUAAUGAAGAAUAAUUUAUCACCAAUGAAUAGAAUUAUAACAAACCCAUUAAAUAGCACACCAAUAGUUGGUAAUAAUAACGUUAACAACAGUCUGAACAAUUAUAAUAUUCAGUUUUUAAACCCACACACAAUUACUAAUAAUACAUCUAUAGGCAGUAACAAAUUAAAUUUCCCUACAAAUAGCCAUUUUUGUAGUAACGGAUUUAUUUGUAAUGAUUGCUUAUGUACAGGACCCGCAUGUCAUAUUGGAUCUAAUAUCAACUUAGAUAAUAAUAAUAAUAAUAAUAAUAAUAAUAAUAAUAAAAACAAUUUAAAUAUCCAAAUAAAUGGUAUGAUUAAUGGUGCAGUAAAUUCUAAUUUGAUAACAAACCAAAUGGGAAACAAUAUUAAUAGUAUGAACUGCAUACAUAAUAAUAAUAAUAAUAUGAACAGUAAUAAUAAUAUAAAUAAUAAUAAUAUGAAUAAUAAUAUAAAUAAUAAUAAUAUGAAUAAUAAUAUGAAUAAUAAUAUGAAUAAUAAUAUGAAUAAUAUGAAUAAUAUGAAUAAUAUGAAUAAUAUGAAUAAUAUGAAUAAUAAUAUGAAUAAUAACAAUAAUAAUGUAAUAAUGCAUUUAAAUAAUCCAUUAGGUCAUCAGCAGGGAAAAACACCAGACAACCAAAUAAUAAGCGCAAACUCAAGUGCAAAUCCUAUACACAAUAAAAGAACUAACAACCAAGUCGACAACAAAAUGUCAAACCAUGUGAAUAAAACAUCAAGUAAUCCAACACAUAUGAAUUGUCAAUUACCAAAUGGUCAGAAUAAUACAACCGUUAGUAGUUGCAGUAGUAGUAGCAGUAGUAGUAGUAGUAGUAUUAGCAGUAGUAUUAGUAGUAACAAUAGUAAUAUAAACCAUGGUAAUGCUAUCAUUAACAAUAACAACAGAAACGUUAAUAACACUGCUACUACUACUACUAACAAUAAUAGAAGUGCAAGCAAUAGUAUUAGUAAUAGAAAUAACAAUAUGAUUAAACAAAUGAAUACUUAUAUGAAUGCAAAUGUAAAUCGUAAAAUACUAACUGGUAAUAUGAUUACUGCUACGAAUAUACCAGGUGCUAUAAUUAAACCUGAAAUAAAUGAUGUAUCUGGUAAUAAUAGUGCUAGUAGUAGUAGUUGUAGUAGUAGUAGUAAUAAUAGUAUAUUAAGAAAUGUUAACAUUUUACGUGACAACGUGAUGAAUAACAAAAUUGUACAUAGUGGUAUGAUUCACAAUGUUGGUAUGCCUAAUAAUAUGAUGUUAAACGGUGCUAUACAUAUGGGCACGAUACAUCCAGGUGUACUGGCGAAUAGCGCCUUACCAAAACGAAUGCUUACUAGUCCUAUGUUAAAGAAUGAAAUAAAAGGAAAUAAUUUGCAUAAUGCGAUAAACCAAAACAUCACGAAUCUUGAUAAUAAAAACUACCACAGUAGUAUGAGUGGCAGUAUAAGUAGCAAUAUGAGUGGCAAUAUGAGUGGCAAUAUGAGUGGCAAUAUGAGCGGAGCAGUGAAUGGGACUAUAAACAGCCCCAUAAACAAUCCUAUGAAUAACGUUUAUAAUAAAAAAUAUGGUAGCGAAGUUUAUGGAAAAAAUAAAAUGACACAGAACAUUCCCAAUCAAAACAUACUGAUAAAUAGAGAACUAAAUAUGUACAAUCCUAAUAUAAAUUUUAUGAAUUGUAUAAAUAAUAAUAGGUAUAUUAUAAGCAAAAAUAUGCACCCAGUAAAGCCAGAGGACAAUUUAUAUGACCAUGUGCAAGGAAAAGAUGAUGGGAUAUAUUUGAUGGAGUUUAAUAAUAAUAAUAAUAAUAAUAGUAAUAAUAAUAAUAAUAGUAAUAAUAAUAAUAGUAAUAAUAAUAGUAAUAGUAAUAAUAAUAAUAGUAAUAAUAAUAAUAGUAAUAAUAAUAAUAGUAAUAAUAAUAAUAGUAAUAAUAAUAAUAGUAAUAUAAAUAAUAAUAAUAAUAAUAAUAAUAGUAAUAAUAAUACUAUACAUCCCCCUUAUAUUGUAAUGAAUAAUAAUAUGAAUAGUGAAAAACUAAUAAACAACAAUUACUUUAUUUCUGAAAAUAGUUAUUAUACACCACCCUACUCUCAUGAACAGUCUGAUGUUUAUAAUAUGUACCCUGGAAAUAUUAGUACCAACGUAAUGGAUGGCAAUGGUAAUAUCGGUUUCAAUGCUGGUAUUGGUCACGUCACUUCCAACAACGUCAUUUUAAAGAACAUGAAUUUGAACAAUAUGAAUGUGAACAAUCUGAAUUUGAACAAUAUGAAUGUGAACAACGGCAACCCUAACAAUGUUACCCCAAACAACACCAACACUAAUACCAACGCAAGCGCGAA
rnacentral:lncRNA from 1 species